GUUUAUAACUUUUAUAGGUACAAAAAGGACCUGAUUCAACAUUCUAAACAAAUUCAUUGGUUUGUGAAAAAUGACAUAGACCCUGGCCGCGAUGGCAGUCCCAAACUCGAACCGAAAGGUCUACAAUGUGUGCACAGUUGGAGAAACAAAGAUGACAAGCGUGCACAUGCCCCCCAGGGGAAGCUAGCAACAGCCUGUUCAAGUUUAUUCGUUAAUGAUCCUUCCGCAGGUUCACCUACGGAAA
rnacentral:misc_RNA from 1 species